rnacentral:rRNA from 1 species
AUUGAACGCUAGCGGAAUGCUUUUCACAUGCAAGUCGGACGAGUGGCGAACGGGUGAGUAACAUAUCGGAACGGACCGAGUAAUGGGGGAAAACUAAUCGAAAGAAUAGCUAAUACCGCAUACUAUUCGAGCGGCCGAUAUCCUAUUAGCUGGUUGGUGGGGUAAAGGCCCACCAAGGCGACGAGCAGUAGCGGGUCUGAGAGGAUGAUCCGCCACACUGGGACGGAGACACGGCCCGGACGCCUACGGGAGGCAGCAGUGGGUAAUUUUGGACAAUGGGCGCAAGCCUGAUCCAGCCAUGCCGCGUGUCUGAAGAAGGCCUUCGGGUUGUAAAGGACUUUUGUCAGGGAAGCGGUACCUGAAGAAUAAGCACCGGCUAACUACGUGCCAGCAGCCGCGGUAAUUC